UUACGGCCAUAUCACGUUGAAACACCGGUUCUCGUACGAUCACUGAAUUUAAGCAAUGAAGAAUCUGGUCAGUACCUAGAUGGGUGAACGGUUGGGAGAGGUGCUGU